CUUUGCAAAUUUAGUGUGACCUGAUCCACAUUAGUAGUUUCAGGAUGCGUAUCAUUUAUUAGCCUGGCAAUCAGGGCAGUAGAGCAUCUGACAACAUAAUUGUUAAAGGCAUUUGCUACAUCUAAGGGAAGUUGCAGGGUUUAGCCACUUUGACAGUGGAGGGUUGGGAGUGGAUUGGGGGAGUUUGUAGUUUAUUUAUGACUCUCCAAAAGUUUCUAGGGUUUGAGAUGUUAUUGUUCAGAUUUUCAUAGAAAUAUUGGGCCUUGGCUAAUUUU